rnacentral:rRNA from 1 species
UACGUAGGGGGCGAGCGUUGUCCGGAUUUAUUGGGCGUAAAGAGCUCGUAGGCGGUUUGUUGCGUCGGCUGUGAAAUCCCGAGGCUCAACCUCGGGUCUGCAGUCGAUACGAGCAAACUAGAGUGUUGCAGGGGAGACUGGAAUUCCUGGUGUAGCGGUGAAAUGCGCAGAUAUCAGGAAGAACACCCGUGGCUAAGGCGGCUCUCUAGUACGGUACUGACGCUGAGACGCGAAAGCGUGGGGAGCGAACAGG